rnacentral:rRNA from 1 species
CGGUAAUACGGAGGGUGCAAGCGUUAACCGGAUUCAUUGGGCGUAAAGAGCGCGUAGGCGGGAAGGUAAGUCAGAUGUGAAAGACCGGGGCUCAACCCCGGGACCGCAUUUGAAACUACUUUUCUUGAGGAUAGGUGGGGAAAGCGGAAUUCCACAUGUAGCGGUGAAAUGCGUAGAUAUGUGGAAGAACACCAGUGGCGAAGGCGGCUUUCUAACUUAUUCCUGACGCUGAGGCGCGAAAGCUGGGGGAGCAAACAGGAUUAGAUACCCUGGUAGUCCCAGCCGUAAACGAUGUGUACUAGAUGUAGUCGGACUCAACCCUGACUUUGUCGUAGUUAACGCGUUAAGUACACCGCCUGAAUAGUACGCCCGCAAGGGUGAAACUCAAAAGAAUUGACGGGGGCCCGCACAAGCAGUGGAGCAUGUGGUUUAAUUCGAUGCUACGCGAAGAACCUUACCUAGACUUGACAUGUAGUGGACAGCUCCGGAAACGGAGUCUUCCUUCGGGACCGCUACACAGGUGCUGCAUGGUUGUCGUCAGCUCGUGCCGUGAGGUGUUGGGUUAAGUCCCGCAACGAGCGCAACCCUUAUCACCAGUUGCCAACAGGUAAUGCUGGGAACUCUGGUGAGACUGCCUAGGUUAACUAGGAGGAAGGCGAGGAUGAGGUCAAAUCAGCAUGGCCCUUAUGUCUAGGGCUACACACGUGCUACAAUGGCCGGUACAGAAGGUCGCAAUACCGCGAGGUGGAGCAAAUCCUUUAAAGCCGGUCUCAGUUCGGAUUGCAAUCUGCAACUCGAUUGCAUGAAGUCGGAAUUGCUAGUAAUGGCGUGUCAGCAAUAACGCCGUGAAUACGUUCCCGGG